rnacentral:tRNA from 1 species
GCCUGGGUGGCUCAGUUGGUUGAGCGUCCGACUUCGGCUCAGAUCUUGAUCUCAUGGCUUGUGGGUUCGAGCCCCGCGUCAGGUC